rnacentral:misc_RNA from 1 species
GAUGAAGAACGCAGCGAAAUGCGAUACUUGGUGUGAAUUGCAGAAUCCCGUGAACCAUCGAGUCUUUGAACGCAAGUUGCGCCCGAAGCCAUUAGGCCGAGGGCACGCCUGCCUGGGUGUCACACGUCGUUGCCCCCCCAUCUACUCCUUCGGGAUUGCGGGGGGCGGAUGAUGGCCUCCCGUGCGCCUCGUCGCGCGGUUGGCAUAAAUGCCAAGUCCUCGGCGACGCACGCCACGACAAUCGGUGGUUGCGAAACCUCGGUUGCCCGUCGUGUGCGGUCGUCGCGCAUCGAGGGCUCGAAAAAAUUGCCGGGCUCCGGCUCGGCUUUCAACGCGACCCCAGGUCAGGCGGGGUUACCCGCUGAAUUUAAGCAUAUCAAUAAGCGGAGGA